GACGAACGCUGGCGGCGUGCCUAACACAUGCAAGUCGAACGCGGUAAUUACUUCGGUGAUUACUUAGUGGCGAACGGGUGAGUAACGCGUGAGAAACCUGCCUUUCAGUGGGGGACAACAGUUGGAAACGACUGCUAAUACCGCAUAAUGUUAUUUGAGGGCAUCCUCGAAUAACCAAAGCUUUAUGUGCUGAAAGAUGGUCUCGCGUCUGAUUAGCUAGAUGGCGGGGUAACGGCCCACCAUGGCGACGAUCAGUAGCCGGUCUGAGAGGAUGAACGGCCACAUUGGGACUGAGAUACGGCCCAGACCCCUACGGGAGGCAGCAGUGGGGAAUAUUGGGCAAUGGGGGAAACCCUGACCCAGCAACGCCGCGUGAAGGAAGAAGGCCUUCGGGUUGUAAACUUCUUUUACCAGGGACGAAGAACGUGACGGUACCUGGAGAAAAAGCAACGGCUAACUACGUGCCAGCAGCCGCCGUAACAC
rnacentral:rRNA from 1 species